rnacentral:rRNA from 1 species
UAGUGGCGGACGGGUGAGUAACGCGUGAGUAACCUGCCUUUCAGAGGGGGAUAACGUCCUGAAAAGGACGCUAGUACCGCAUGAUAUAUUUGUGCCGCAUGGUAUGGAUAUCAAAGGAGCAAUCCGCUGGAAGAUGGACUCGCGUCCGAUUAGCUAGUUGGAGGGGUAACGGCCCACCAAGGCGACGAUCGGUAGCCGGACUGAGAGGUUGAACGGCCACAUUGGGACUGAGACACGGCCCAGACUCCUACGGGAGGCAGCAGUGGGGGAUAUUGCGCAAUGGGGGAAACCCUGACGCAGCAACGCCGCGUGAAGGAAGAAGGUUUUCGGAUUGUAAACUUCUUUUCUAAGGGACGAAGAAGUGACGGUACCUUAGGAAUAAGCUCCGGCUAACUACGUGCCAGCAGCCGCGGUAAUACGUANGGAGCAAGCGUUGUCCGGAUUUACUGGGUGUAAAG